rnacentral:lncRNA from 1 species
GAAGCACACUGCAGAGCUGCAGGACAAGCUGUGGGUUUCUGGCAUCAGCCCUGCGGCUGGAGGCAUGGCAGGUUUCCUGCCCAAUACCCACUGCUUCUAAGGCCUGCUGCCGCCACCCAGGCAUCUCUUACUCUCUGCACACUGUCUUGGGACAGCCGGCUCUAGGAAUUCUCGCUAUGGCACUCGAUUCAGCCAGGAGACAGGUGAUGCGUAAUGCUGUCAGAAAGCAUGUGCUGGUGAAGAAAUACAUUGAGCCCUGCUUGGUCCAGUGAGGUUAUUAGUGAAUUGGGAGAGGCUCAAAUCAGCAUGCAAACUAUUGUGAAAUUUUGACAGGUUCUUGCUAAGUUGCCAAGAGUCUUGCGAAGUUGCUCAGAUUGGCUUGAAACUUGUGAUCCUCCUGCUUCAGCCUCUGGAGUUGCUGGGAUUACAAGUGUGUACCACCACACAUGGCUCUGCCUGCUCAGCAGAUUCACCAGAGUGCCAGGAUCAAUCACUAUUUCUGAGGAUAUCCUGGUGAGGCAGUUUGGAAACCUUGGCUGAAUUGUGAAGGCAUAUCUUUGAAAAGUGUUUCAGAGUCCAGCAAAUGUUCCAUGUGAGUGACCACAUAGAAGAAGAGAAGGGGGUUCGCAGUGAUUAAGCAGGAUCUUGUGAGAGAGACUCUAUGGUCUGUAGAGCCUGAGGGCCUCACUAAAUUGCUAGGAUUGGCUUUGAACUUGUGAUCCUCCUUCUUCAGCUUCCUGAGCUGCUGGGAUUAAAGAUGUGUUGGAUUUGGAGGAAUUAAUCCUUCCAUUGCUAUCUCAAAAGGUGAUCUAGACAAUGGAACAGAGACCUCUCAAUCAGGGGUUGCAAUUGCAAAUGCCUGCAGGAACCACAUGGGGUGUGGGUAUCAAGCCUAAGGCCUUGUGUAUGCUAGGCAAGUGCUUUACCAAUGAGCUACACCCCCAGCCUGAUCAAACCCAGUGCCUUGCACAUGCUAGGAUAUGUUACAUCCCUGGCUGCCUUCCUCCAAGCAUCAGUAGUGAUCUCAACUCAACCACUAUGACAAGUAAAAAGGUCCCUACAAAGUUUUCACAACACUGCCCAAGGGUUCUACUGUUCUGGGUUGUCCCUUUCACAAAUAAUGGUGCAAUGAAAACUUGAUCCGUGUGUCCUUGUCCUUUUUAUAUUUUAUUUUGAGACGGGUCUUGCUAAGUUGAAUAGUGCCUCACUAAGUUGCUGAGGCUGGCUUUGGACUCCCAGAACUCCUGCCUCAGCCUCCCGAGCUGCUGGGAUUAUAGGCGUGUGCCACUACUUUCGGCUGUAAUGCUUUUCUUAAUUGUUCCCACAUCUUAUUAAGAUCGGGUAAUUGAGGUCAAAUACACUCAGUAACAUUGCUCCCAAAUGUCAGAGUGAAGACUCUCUCUCAUUAUCAAUGAUGCUUAAGUUGGAGAAUUAUGUCAGAUGAGGAAUCAUUCCAUCAAGUAACCGGGAAUAUUGCUGUGAAGAGGUCUGUCUUUUUGUAAGAGGGGUGUUCUCUUGCUUCUUGAGAGAGAAUUCAUAAACGCAGUAAGGCCUUUGCCAGAAAACAUCUUUAAUAAAUAAAGAGAACUCUGGUCCUGGGGAGAUUUGAGAAAGUUUCUGGCAUCUUCCGGACUUUUGCAUAAUUGAUAAAUCCUCUGAGAAACAGGAGAGAGCCUAAAACCAGGAACACCCACCAGAACCAGUACUGAACCAUCAAAGUAUCCAGGGAAGUAGGUGGAAAACUUGACAAUCAGGAUCCACUUAAUUGGAGAGAGACCAAAUCCUGAGAUGGCCCCAUACCUUCCUGCAGCUGAGGUGGUCAGGCAAAAAGACAGGAAAAACUCAAUCCAGUUGAAGAUGAAUGCCAUGAAAAAAGUUGACAUGAAAAUCCCAUCAUUUCCUAUCCUCAGCUGUUCAGCAUCAUCAAAAUCAUCCCGGCCCACAAAAUCUUCAUCUCUUCAGCUUUCAACCUCAUCAUAAGUGGGCAGUGUUGUGGCCACGUUAUAAGAUGGGGGCUUUGGAAACCCAGAUUCGUUGUUGUAGUCAAAAUAGGCUGCACUAUCUGCAGAGAUGCUGCUGUAAGGUGGUGGAGCAUCACCUGCAGCCUGCUCAGGUUCCCCAGGCUCUUCAUUCUGCAACUGUUGGUACCAGCUGCCAUAGGCCGGCUCCACCUCUGCCAGCGCCGCCAACGCCAUUGCCAGGGCGCAGCCGUCCGCAGGGAAGGAAGUCAAACGAGCUGAAGGCGCUGGCGCUGCGGCCUGGGAGCGCUGCCAGGCUGAGAGGGACGCACCUCUCGUGGGUCUCCGCUCCCCCAGAGACGCUCUGCUCAGGCUGUCCCUAUUCUGUAUUUUGUUUAGACAGAAGGUCUCACUGAGUUGCUUAGUGCCUCCCUGUUGCUGAGGCUGGGUUUGAAUUCACGAUCCUCCUGCCUGAUCCUCCUGAGCCGCUGGGAUUACAGGCAUGUGCCACCAUGCCCAGCUAAUUUUUGUUUUGUUUUGUUUUAGGUACUGGGGAUUGAACUCAGGGUGGUUUACCACCAAGCUGCAUCCUAACCCUUUAUAAUUUUUUGUUUUUCAUUUGGAGUCAGAGUCUCUCACUAAGUUGCCAAAGCUGAACUUUGGAUGCUCUUGCCUCAGUCUCCUGAAUCACUAGGAUAAGUCAUGUGCUACCAUGCUGGGCAUUUUUCUAAUAUUUUUGGAAAGUUUUCAAUUUUUCUCUUUGAAGUAUGAUGUUACCAGUGGGAUUUUCUUAGAUUCCCUUCUCAAGUUGUGUUUGUUCCCUUAUAUCCUUAGUUUGUUGAAUGGUUUUAUUAUGAAAAAGCACUGAGUUUAUUCAAAUGCUUUUUUUGCAUCAGUUGAGAUGACCAUGUAUUUAUUCAUCUUUUUGAUACUUAAUUAUAAGAGUUUAUUAAUGAAUACCAACUGUUUUUCAUAUGCUCAAACACAGUUGCAUUACUGGGAUAAAUUUCAGUUGGUCAGGGUAUAUAAUUAUUUUAAUGUGCUCCUGCAUUUGGGUUGCUAAUAUAUUGUUGAGUACUUUUGUAUUUAUACUUUUAAGAGAUACGGUUCUGCAAUCUUCUUGUUAUUCCUUUGUCUGAUUUUGUUGUAGUAAUUUUACUUUUAUAGAAUGAUUAAGAAAUAUAUUCUCUCCCAAUGAAUUUUUUUAAUCUUUGGAAAAAGUUUUGUUCUUACAUAUUUUAUUUAUUUUUAGUUAUGAAAAUAAAUAAAUCAUGAACAUGAAAAAA